ACAAGAAAUGACCAUAAGAAAUCCAAACAUGAUGAUCAGCUUGCAGAACAAUUGAUGCCAGCAAUGUUGAAUGCGGACUGAAUUUAAUUUACUCUGGAUGGAAGAACAAUGCCAUGUCUGAAUACUGAAAUUUAGUUCGGCUUACAUAGAAGCUUAAUUGUAGCAGCCAGAAGUGUCUUUUAUUGGAACUCAAAUAAUGGGACAUGAGAAGAAAAAACCAUAUUUAAUUUAUAGCAUAUUUGGCCUUCAAGUUCUAGCAGUUCAAGCAUAGUAGAUCUUGUAAGGAAUUGAGAUACCAUAUUUCAU
rnacentral:lncRNA from 1 species